UCUUUUCUUUUCUCUCAUACACUCCUCUCUACUCUUAUAUCCUCUCUCACCGGUACUUCCACACCACCACCACCAUUUCCACAAUCUUUUUCCAGCAAGAUCACUAGAAAAUCCUUAAGAGCCUAUAAGCCCCUUCACAUCUUUUCUUUGAGGUUCUAGCUAAUCUCCUUGGAGCUUGGAAAAUUAGGCUUUUGCAGUUGCGAGGUAAGUAGCUUUUUAAUGGGAUUUUUGAAAAAAAAAACCAUGUUGCAUAAGUGUACACGCUUUUGGAAACUACCUAUGGAAAUUAUAUUUUUCCAAAAAAACUAUUGUGCCGUAACCUUAAUAUAUAUAUAUAUAUAUAUAUAUAUAUGAAUGAUUAUAUAUGAAAAUGCAUCAUAUUUGGUAUCGCAUUUGGGGAAAUGCAUGAAUUGUUGAUAUGGAAAAAUGAGCAUCUUUUAUUUAAUCUUUCAUAAGGAAAUCAUGGAUUUUAUGGUAUAUUAGAAAAUUUAAAGAUGCUUAUCUUGUCUUGUUAUGUGGGAAAUUGAUAGAAAAUCUCUUGACAAGAAUGAAGUUGAAAACCUUACAAACUUUAUGGAAGUUAGAUUAUUCAAGAUUUUUCUGAAAUUACCUAGAUAUAAACUAUGUGUUUCAAAGUAUAUGUAACCUGUGAGCUUUAUGUGGUUUUAACACCAUGCCAUGUGUGAUUUUCCGAUGAUCACCCAAUUUGUUUUUCGUAGUUUUUGUGACAACGAAAUCAGAUCUAGGUCAGUGCCCUUUCACUUUGGAUGACGCUUUCUUCCCUACUGCCCAUGGGGGAAAAAGGUUCCUUGAUUGUGUGUGGGUGAGGCUGCUAUCCAUGGGGCCAAGAGACCAUAUGCAAGAGAGGUCCUAUUUGACUCGCUCUCUCUACUGCCCAUGGAGGGAGAGAAAAACCUUAAGGGUAUAGGUGAGGCUGCUGUCCAUGGGGCCAAAAGCCUGCAUACCAAAGAAGACAAUAUUAUGCCAAUUGUGAAUGGGUGGAUCUCCUGACCGGUUUAUGUGGUAGUGUGGUAUAUUUGUGAUAAUUUACCUUAUGUUAUAUUUUAUGACUUUAGAAAUUAUAUUGUUGGUGCUCACAGAUUAUAGUAUAUAGUUUCAAGGUAUUUACUUUGAGAAACUGUGUGUUUCAUUAUUUAGUCAUUCUUAUCAUAUCAUAUUAUUAUUAUUGAAAAUGAAACUUGCAUAUCCCCCACCCCUAUUAAUUAUGCUACUUACUGGGCUCUAUCUCAUUCCAUUAUUUUAUAAACUUUUCAGAGUAGGCAACGAUAUUUUGAGACAGCUUUUUGGUGGCUAACAGUAGUUAGACUAACUAUUGAUGGAGGCUGAACUUUUGUAAUGGAGAUAUUAGAUUAUGUACAUCUUAGAAUAAACUUGACUCAUUCUUUUGUAUAUUAUAGUGGUUGUGACAUUAUUCCCACUAAUAGGACAGUUGAUGAUAUGUAAUUAUUUAUUCAGACCUCUAUUCUUUUGUGGCCAAUGGUCCUUGUAAUUAUUGCUUAGAGCUCUAACUUACUUUGAGAGUAUAUUCAAUGGAAUUAUUAUGAUAA